UACGUAGGGGGCUAGCGUUGUCCGGAUUUACUGGGCGUAAAGCGCACGUAGGUGGCGACGUAAGUCGGGUGUGAAAGCCCCGGGCUCAACCUGGGAAUUGCAUUCGAGACUGCAUUGCUGGAGUACGGAAGAGGAAGGCGGAAUUCCCGGUGUAGCGGUGAAAUGCGCAGAUAUCAGGAGGAACACCGAUGGCGAAGGCAGGUCUCUGGGCCGAUACUGACGCUGAGGAGCGAAAGCGUGGGGAGCGAACAGG
rnacentral:rRNA from 1 species